UUAUAUUCUCCGCAGGGGGGGAUGAGAACCCCCGACCGGGGUUCGACAACUGGCGCAGCCAGUUGGACAGACCGCGCACGCAGUAAGCGGGGGCUGCCCCGCAGGGGCGAGCGAAGCGAGUCAAUCCCCCCCUCACCGCCA
rnacentral:sRNA from 1 species